AUUGCAAAUCAUUCUAUCGGCGUAAUCAAUCCGGCGCACGUGGAUCGUCAUUGUAAAAAAAAAACAAAAUUACUGUACAAAAAUGCCUGUUUACUACGGUGGGUACGUUGGAGGGCCGCAGGGCGGUGGCUAUUGUCUGUACUCCUACCAGCCUUGCAACCCUUGUACUGGCGGUUGUGGACCAGUAUCCUGUUAAUCAGAUCAUCGAAGAGGCUGCUGUUGAAAGUUGUCGAUAAUCUCCUCACUCAUGUUCAUUGUUAUGUUUGGUUUUACUUACCUUGGCGUUUUUCUCAAUCGUUAUAUGUAAAUAAACACCUUUGUUUGAA